UACGGUGGGAGCAAGCGUUGUUCGGAUUUACUGGGCGUAAAGGGCGCGUAGGCGGUCAGCACAAGUCAGUUGUGAAAUCUCCGGGCUUAACUCGGAAAGGUCAACUGAUACUGUGCGACUAGAGUGCGGAAGGGGCAACUGGAAUUCUCGGUGUAGCGGUGAAAUGCGUAGAUAUCGAGAGGAACACCUGCGGCGAAGGCGGGUUGCUGGGCCGACACUGACGCUGAUGCGCGAAAGCCAGGGGAGCGAACGGG
rnacentral:rRNA from 1 species